ACUAGUGAUUUCCGUAGGUGAACCUGCGGAAGGAUCAUUAUUGAAAUUAAAGGGAGAUUGCUUUCGAGCAUCGCCCGACACUUUUGAUUCUAUACACCCGCCGUCGAGAUUUAUCUUGAUGUGCAUUUUUUUUACACACACGAAAUUUUAUCAGACUCUUAAAAUCAGUCUAUAAACUAUAUACAUAUAAUAAAAUAAAACACAACUUUUGACAACGGAUCUCUUGGUUCUCCCAUCGAUGAAGAACGCAGCGAAAUGCGAUAAGUAAUGUGAAUUGCAGAAUUCAGUGAAUCAUCAAAUCUUUGAACGCACCUUGCGCUCCUUGGUAUUCCUUGGAGCAUGCCUGUUUGAGUGUCUUGAAUAUCUCCUCUCAUUCAUUUUUUAACUAAAGAUGGAUCGAGAGGGUCCUUGGGCUUGCAUUGGAUGUACUUUUAUGCUUGCCUUAAAUGCAUUAGCUGGAUUUCAGUAGAGUUGUUAAGUAACAUUGAAAACUCUUGUGAUCGAAAUCUGCUUCUAAUCCAUAUCUUGAUUUCAUCGAGAUAUAAUUUUCAACUUUGGCCUCAAAUCAGGUAGGACUACCCGCUGAACUUAAGCAUAUCAAUAAGCGGAGGA
rnacentral:rRNA from 1 species